UACGUAGGGUGCAAGCGUUUAAUCGGAAUUACUGGGCGUAAAGCGUGCGCAGGCGGUUGUGCAAGACAGAUGUGAAAUCCCCGGGCUCAACCUGGGAAUUGCAUUUGUGACUGCACGGCUAGAGUGUGUCAGAGGGGGGUAGAAUUCCACGUGUAGCAGUGAAAUGCGUAGAGAUGUGGAGGAAUACCGAUGGCGAAGGCAGCCCCCUGGGAUAACACUGACGCCUCAUGCACGAAAGCGUGGGGAGCAAACAGG
rnacentral:rRNA from 1 species